ACACACCUUGAAACUACCUUUCAAGAGAACGGAGUACCCAAGACUAUAAGAAUAACAAAGGUGUUACCUUCGACUGACUCUCUUGUAGGACGUAUUAGGCGUACAUUUAGCCGCUCCAGAUCGCAGUCACCUUCUAAUUACAACAGGAACAAAUUAAACCGCAAUAGCAAUAAACUAUCCUCGAGUUCUCAUGCGGAGAAGUGUCUAAAUGAUACAACAACCGUUGAAGAAAACUGUUUUAUGUGUCCUAUUGAGAGACAUUUUCCUAUGAGUUCCACAAAGUCAUCCGUUAGGGCCCCAGUGACUGAUGCCGGGGUGCAGACGUCAGUAAACUCACCAACAGAGGCCGUGACCCCGCAGUGUAACGGAGGAUCUCCUGCAAUCGUCGUAACACAGACAGACAAACCUAAACAAGGCCCCACAAAAGACGACAACAAAGUGUUGCAAAGCAACGAGCAGACGACCAUUUCUAACACUAACAAAGAAACUGCCAGCAAAGACGCGCAACAAAACAUGACAUCCAAACCUCCAGGAAGUCCUGCAAAGACCUUAAUGGUUAACGGCGGCAGCACUACGCAGAACGGACACAAUAACGGGCAUCUAUCUGAUGACGAGGCCCACAGCCCGUCCACCCGCAGGAAAAGGCCAAUGUCCGCCAAUUCUGCCAAGAAGUUUGUGAAAAUUAAAAAUGUAGCUGACGAGAAGAUCGUGUAUACUGACACACUACACAACAAGUCCUUGGAGAAUGUCCCGUGUAACAGCAAUCGAUGUGUGGGCUCCAUCAUGGGAUACACAACAAACAAACGAGCCCCCGGGGAACCCCGUCCCAAAGAGGAAGUGUUGGUACAGGCCAAAGAUUUCAUUGAGCAAUACUACACUUCAAUCAAAAGAGUUAAUUCCCAAAUGUACCACAAAAGACUUGAAGAGGUAGUAGCGUCUAUUGAGAAGACUGGCACAUAUGAGCUUACGUCCAGUGAAUUGACUUAUGGCGCUAAACUUGCUUGGCGAAACGCUCCAAGAUGUAUAGGGCGAAUUCAGUGGAAUAAAUUACAGGUCUUUGAUGCCAGGCAUAUAACAACUGCCCGAGGAAUGUUUGAAGCCAUAUGCAAUCACAUAAAAUACGGAACCAAUAAAGGCAACAUUAGGUCUGCAAUAACUAUCUUCCCUCCAAGAACUGACGGGAAACAUGACUUCCGGGUGUGGAAUGCGCAGUUGAUUCGGUACGCCGGGUACAAGCAGCCAGACGGUUCCGUUAUUGGAGACCCCGCCAAUGUGGAGUUUACAGAGGUUUGUCAGAAGAUGGGCUGGAAAGGAAAAGAGGGCAUGUGGGACGUGUUGCCACUGGUUCUACAAGCUAACGGGAUGGACCCAGAAAUGUUUGAAAUCCCUCAAGAUUUAAUCCUGGAGCACGAGCAGCUCCUCCUGGUGGUGACCAGUACCUUUGGAAACGGAGACCCCCCGGAAAAUGGCGAGGCAUUUGCAAAGAGUCUACAUGAGAUGAAAACUCCACACAACACUCAAAAUGGGGAACCUUUGUCCAUGUCGUACUUCAAGAUGAGUACCCCGAGUGAGUCAGACGACAAAGGUGAUACGUCACCAGAUACCACGGGAAAUCUGGACGCAGACGAUGGGCCUCUGGCCAAUGUUCACUAUUCGGUGUUUGGCCUCGGCUCCAGAGCAUAUCCGAAUUUCUGUGCCUUCGCCCACUUUGUAGACAACAUGAUCAACUCUUUAGGAGGAAUGAGAAUUAAUAAGAUGAUGGAGGGGGAUGAACUUUGUGGACAAGAGGAGUCUUUCCGGCAAUGGGCAGAGGAAACGUUUAAGACUGCUUGUGAAACAUUCUGUGUCGGGGACGAUAGCAGCAUCAGUGAGGCGACCAGUUCCCUGUCCAAGACAGACUUCACCUGGUCCCCAGGCAAAUUCAGACUCACCCCGGCAGACAAAGAGCCGAAAAUAACAGAAGCUUUGUCCAAAGUACACAACAAAACUGUGCUGCCCUGUAAGCUGAUCGAGAGAACACAAUUACAAUCACAGAAUUCAAGCCGACAGACAAUCUUAAUCAAACUGGACACCUAUGGCGCCUCGGAGCUGGCCUAUGUACCUGGUGAUCACGUGGCCAUUUUCCCCAAAAACUCGCCGGAUAUGGUAGAAUCAAUUCUAGCAAGACUUCAUAACGCCCCUCCAGCGGAUCAAAUAAUCAAAACAGAGAUCCUGCAAGAAAAAUCAACACCUCUUGGUUCGUCAAAGAUUUGGGAACAGGUGGAGAAAAUUCCGAUUUGUUCACUGCGCACGGCUUUCUCCCGGUACCUAGAUAUCACUACGCCCCCUAGUAUCAACAUGCUGAAGCAACUGGCGUCUCAAGCUACUUGGGAAAGUGAUAAAGAUAGGCUGGAAAACCUUGCAAAUGAUAUACACGCCUAUGAAGACUGGAAGCAUGAGAGGAACCCAAACUUGGUGGAAGUCUUUGAGGAGUUUCCUUCACUGCGAGUAAAUCCCACGCUUCUGAUGACACAACUUCCGCUGUUGCAGCAAAGAUUCUACAGCAUCAGUUCCUCACCAAAAGCAUAUCCCGGGGAAAUUCAUGCCACGGUCGCCGUCGUUAAAUACAACACCAUGGGUGGUGUAGGGCCAGUGCAUGAAGGCGUGUGCUCUUCCUGGUUGAACAAAUGUGAUAUCGGAGAAACCAUUCCUUGUGUGGUUAGAAUGGCACCUAGUUUCCAUCUUCCGGACGAUUCAACUCUCCCCGUGGUCAUGGUCGGUCCAGGGACCGGAAUUGCACCAUUCAGAAGCUUCUGGCAGCAACGUAAAAUAGAGAGAGAAAUGCUUCCUCCUCCAACGCAUGGAGAGAAGCAAGGAUGGGGUGAGAUGAGUCUGUACUUCGGCUGUAGGCAGUCUACCGUGGACCAUAUCUAUGAGUCUGAAUUAAACGCAUGCGCAAAGGAAGGUGUCUUAUCUCAGGUCAAUGUUGCUUUAUCGCGGGAGCCCGGAAAGAAAAAGGAAUAUGUUCAAGAUCUACUGAAGAAAAACAGUCAACAAAUUUUUGAAAGCAUAAUGAAGAAAGGUGGCCAUUUUUUUGUUUGUGGUGACGUAGGCAUGGCGUCAGAUGUAACGACAACUUUGUCCAAAAUAAUCCAGGAGCACGGGAAGAUGACCUCGGAGCAGGCUCAGUCGUACCUUUUGAAACUACGGGAAUCCAAUCGUUUCCAUGAAGACAUCUUUGGUGUAACAGUAAAAGCGGAAGUGACGGAUAAGGCACGUGAUCAGGCAAAGAAAGCAUGGAAGUACAUCAACUCUACCAACAAAUCCACGCGGACCGAUGAAGUGGUCACCAGAAUUCCUUCAGCGGAAAUCCUGAUACAGAACCGGAAGCGCCGACCGCCCUCAAGGAAUCGGUCCCACAACGUGUACUCGGAGGGGGUGCCGCUGUACGACAGUUCGGACUCCCUGUCCCCCGAGCACUGACCGGUCAUAUAUAUCAAUCAUAGACAUUGGAUAAUUUAAAUAUAUAUUGCUUGUUGUUUAAUUAGUCGAUUUCUAUUCAUUAUUUUCCAUUUUGAGGACGUUAUUGAUGCAUUGUUUAUAUUUUACAAACUUUUAUCACUUUUUACGGAUUACCUGUACUGUAAUUUUAAUUUGUUGGUUACUUGUUUUUCUGGGUUUCCCUUUACAUAUAAAGUUUAUGUACAUUUU
rnacentral:misc_RNA from 1 species